AGCGAACGCUGGCGGUAGGCCUAACACAUGCAAGUCGAACGGCAGCACAGUAAGAGCUUGCUCUUACGGGUGGCGAGUGGCGGACGGGUGAGGAAUACAUCGGAAUCUACUUUUUCGUGGGGGAUAACGUAGGGAAACUUACGCUAAUACCGCAUACGACCUACGGGUGAAAGCAGGGGAUCUUCGGACCUUGCGCGAUUGAAUGAGCCGAUGUCGGAUUAGCUAGUUGGCGGGGUAAAGGCCCACCAAGGCGACGAUCCGUAGCUGGUCUGAGAGGAUGAUCAGCCACACUGGAACUGAGACACGGUCCAGACUCCUACGGGAGGCAGCAGUGGGGAAUAUUGGACAAAGGGCGCAAGCCUGAUCCAGCCAUACCGCGUGGGUGAAGAAGGCCUUCGGGUUGUAAAGCCCUUUUGUUGGGAAAGAAAAGCAGCAGGUUAAUACCCCGCUGUCCUGACGGUACCCAAAGAAUAAGCUCCGGCUAACUUCGUG
rnacentral:rRNA from 1 species